AAAAAAAAAUAAAAGAAAAUAGAAAAUGAAGAUAACAACUGACGUUAUUACACAUUUAAUAUCUGCUUCCUUAAUUCUCUUGUCAAUAACGUGUUUAACAGAGAUAACGCUUUUGACGAUCGUACUCGUAGACACAUCUCGAACAAAGAGGAAUUAAUAAAAAACAAAAGAAAAAGAAACUUUUCUCGAGUAAAAGUUAUCACGGGGAGAAAGGUGAAGAAAAUAGCAUGAAAUAUUUUUUCGCGGAUUACGAACUUCGUAUGGAGAAAAUAGCAAAAAAGGUGCCGACAAGUUGGUGUCGAUGAUAGUGUGAAUUCAACAUGGCAUUCGAAAUGAUUGUAAUAACAGUAUGAAAUACAAAAUGAGAAAAGGAUUGAACGCAGUGAAAGAGAAUAAGAGAAAGAGGCCAUGGUUGGGAAUGGGACGGAACGGGAGAAAGGAAAACGAUUAGAUAAGACCAGGCCGGCAAGAUCAAAGGCGUGCACGUUAAUCCACCACUCCUCGAUAACAGUGCUCGAGGCCUUCGAGACAUCACGAAUAAGCUUCGACCUUAGACUUUUUCGAUGGUAUAUAAGUUGAAUUCAGCAUGGCUGGCACAAAAUCAUUACAGAGAUUACAGAGAAUUUGUGCCAAAGAGAAAUCGAUUUCAUUUAAAAAGGCGUCCUUGAUGAAUAUGACAACUUUGUGUUUCGAGUUUUUCUUUUUUUAUUUCUGUUUUAUCAUUAAGCUGUAUUAAAGUAGGUAUUUAACAGAUAUUUGACAAUUGCAAGCGAACGAGAUUCAGAAGAUAUUUAUCGUGUCUGUUCAAAUAUAUUAUAAUACGUCGAAUUUCGAAUCCUAUCCAGAUUAUAAUUAUAGAACAUUGAAUCAUUGAACAUUUUCAAUUCUUCGCGCUGGUGAUUAUGUUAAACGAAAUAAAUUAUUGCAAAUAAAAUAAAUUAUGUCUAUUCAUAUCGAAUAUAGAUAAAAUUUAAUGAAACAUUUUGCAAAAUUGCGAAUAUAAUUACGAGUUUUAUGAAUAUUUUGCUUUUUCAACAGUAAACUUAAAAUUUAAACAUAAGAAAUAUAUAUCAUUCUUCGAAGUAGUAUCAUCGAGAAUUCAUUCAUAAUAUAUUCGAAUAUCAUUUCAUUUUCAAUAUUAUUCAAAAUCACAAAUAUUUGCCAUAUUAAACAAGAUCGUUGCUGAAAAGCGAUGCAUAUAAACAAAUAUAAAACAUCAUUAAAUCUUAUCGACAGACGUUUUAUCUUGGAAGAUUGUCAUCAGAAACAAAAAAAAAAAAAUUCCAAAUUCUAUGCAAUAUUACAUCUUAAUUACGACAAAUUUUCCUACGCACAAUGUGAGUAAGUACUUGUAUAUACUACAAGUAAAAUUUCAUUCAAUAAAACGUAACGUCUUGGUCAAUUAAAUAUUAUAAGAAAAAUAUGAAACUAAAUAAAUGAAUAAAAGAUAAUAUUGGAAAAUAAAGAAGGUAGUAAACGAGAAGAUCUGCAGAACGUAGGAAUUAAUCUGUAUCGAAUCAUAAACCGAUUUCUUUUCGUGGCACUCCGAUUUUUCAACUGUUCAAGUUGUACCACUUGAACUUUUAUAUAUCCGAAAAAGUCUAUCGGAAUCCCAACGGAGAAUGUUGUUUGAAGGGGAGAAUAGUCGGUUUUUCGAUAUAAGAAACGCGUAGUUGUGUGAGUCGGCAAGGAUUACCGUCGGUCUUUUUCAUCUUUCUGAUAUCGAAACUCGCACCUACGAUUAUCCGGCUCUGGUUCCUUGUCAACACUCGAUCUACUAGUACUCUGAAUAGCGUAAUUGUUGCACCAGGUAAUAUCUUCUUCCAUCGGUUGGACAGUACAAGUUAAGGAAAAGUAAUUGGAAAAAUAAAGAUGACUUUAGAUCAUUUGCACGAAAGAUUAAAUUUUUAUAUCUAAAUCUAAGUUUAAUGAUCGAGUGAAAUCAUGAUGCAAUGAAAAUAAUAGUUACACAAUUAAAAUUCCUUGACAUGUUUCUGUUUUUCGCCCAUUUUGAAGAUCAAAAUCAAAGAGUAAAACGCAAUACACACAGUUUUCUGAAUCGUAGAAAUCGUUAUCUGUAAUUAAACGAAGUAUGAGAUAUUUAUCUUCGAUAGCAGUCCUCACGCGUGUCACAGCGAUACCAUAGACGCUAACGUUUACAAAAAUCUGAUUCGACUGAUCCCAUGAAUUUAAUUGAAUUGCAAUCUCGAGUGGUUCGCAGUUAUAUUUCGUAGUAUGCGAUACAAGAUCGUCCCAACAUUACAACGUUUAAAAGUACGAAGAUGCAAAUUACAAAGUGAAGUGUAAAGAUGAGUAAUAAAUAUUGACAGCAAAUCCGGAAACAAUUCAUAUUUUCGAACCAGAAAUAAGAAGAUUAAAAUAUUAUUGAGCCUCUGGACACUUUAAGUGUCAAGAAAAAUCCCUACUUUGACCCUCAUCCCUUAUUAUGAUAUUACCGUGCAAAGAAGUUAACAGUAAAGGUUCUUAAGUUGUGGCCAAAACCGAGCUAAAUAACCGAGCUAAAGGAUCAGGUAAGAGAAGAAGCGAAUUAUUCGUUUACAAUGUUUUUCUCUUAAAAGGAUUUAAGAUUAAGAUGAAUGCCAAAUGACAAAUCUCUCGUCGACUUCAACUGGUGACCAAUUAAUCUUUACUGUUAGCAAAACAAAUCGUUCGAAAAUAUUUUACGAUAUAAUUAUAUAUUGAUGUUGAAUAAAUUUGAUAAUUUCUUAUUUCGCGCGAUAAAAUUAGUCUUAAUGCAAUUCAAACUAAUCUAAUAAAAUUUUUGAGCAAAUGAUUAAGUAAUGAUUAAGUAAGAUUGAAUAAUGAUUAUUUGAGUUAAUGAUUUUUCAAAUAUGUUUAUUAUAUGAUAUUAAAUUUUUAAGAUUUAUAUGAUCUGUUUUAGAAGGAGAGCAGAUGUAAAAUUGUUAAAAAAUUAGAGCUACUUAAAUAUUUUAUAUUUCUAAUAAAAUGAUCAUAUAAUUUUGUACAUCGUAACUAUUAUCUUAUUAUCUUUUAAAGUGAUAACUAAAUCAAAUUUCUUUUCAUCCUUCUGUAAAGAUUAUUACUGUUAAAAAUAUUAUUAUCCGAUCGUUCACCAAUCUUCUCACGAUGCAACUAAAAUGGCUUCAGUAAUAAAGUCCGGAGAAAUCGCGAAUAUACCUAUUUCUAUCGAAGAAUCGAGCAAACGCGGUCGUUUCGAAGGACUAAUAAUUACGAGGAAAAAUCGCACAUCGACAGGAAUAUGCGAAUACCCGCCACGAAAUUGUAAUACGUAUUCUGAAUGCGAGAGUCGUCUUUAUACGAGGCAACGGCUGCCUGCAAUAUAACCAUAAAAUGCAGAUAAUAGCCGCUAGAAGGUAUUGAAGGGUCGCACGGUUGUGAAACCGUAGAAAAAAGAAAAGAACAGGAUGAAAUUGAGCAGCAAGAAGAAAACAGGAUAGAGCUUUGAUGCUCGUCGUUCUGACGUCUUCGCGAUUAUUCCGUAUACAUGCUACUACUAACUGUAUUGUCUGUAUUUGAAUUGUUGUCAGUUGAAAAUAAGGACCUUUUGUGUUUAUAUUUCCGUAGACAAUUUGAAUACGACGGUUUAAAAUUAACAGUUUUAUGUUUAUAUACGAGAAAAAGUCAGUGGAUACGAAACGUUGAAAAUAAACUAGAAUAACUGUUGAGGAUUUUUUUUUGGAAUUUUUUUGAAACUUAUUGUUGAUACUAAUAAUUCAAAUUAAUUAAUGAUUCGAUACGAAAUUAAUUAAGAAAUUAAAAAUUAUUUCAAUCGUAAUAUCAUUUCUAUCUCGUUA